AUUGAACGCUGGCGGCAGGCCUAACACAUGCAAGUCGAGCGAGCGGCGGACGGGUGAGUAAUGUCUGGGAAACUGCCUGAUGGCGGGGGAUAACUACUGGAAACGGUAGCUAAUACCGCAUACCAUCAGAUGUGCCCAGAUGGGAGUAGCUAGUAGGUGGGGUAACGGCUCACCUAGGCGACGAACCCUAGCUGUCCUGAGAGGAGGACCAGCCACACGUGAACUGAGAAACGGUCCAGAAUCCUACAGGAGUCAGCCGUGGGGAAUAAUGCACAAUGGGCGCAAGCCUGAUGCAGCCAUGCCGCGUGUGUGAAGAAGGCCUUCGGGUUGUAAAGCACUUUCAGCGUGGAGGCGUUACCCGCAGAAGAAGCACCGGCUAACUCCGUGCCAGCAGCCGCGGUAAUAC
rnacentral:rRNA from 1 species